UUUUAUUUAUACAAUAAUUAGUAUUACGAUCAAUUAGGCAUUUUAUACAGACCAAUCAACUAUUUCAGUAAAUGCAUUUCAUAACUCCAUAUCAGUAAAGUCCAUAAGAAUCAAAUGUAGUUACUUACAGUAAGAUAAGCAAUUAAUCAUCAAAAGAAUCUCAAACAUAUUAACAAAAGUUUCACCAAGAGUAAUACACACACACUCACACACAGAAUUACUUACCUUUAGAAGAGAGAACCAAAAAGAGAGAUCCAAUAACUAAAAUACAACAAAAACUAGCAAUUUUACAAAGAAAAGUAAAGAAGUAAGCACAAUUACAAGAAUUAGAUCAUAAAAACAAAAUAAAAAUCCAAAACAAAAAGAAAUUAACAAAUACGUAGAAAGAGAGAGAGAAGGAAAACCCAAAUGCGUUUAAAGAAACUUAAAAUCCUAGAGUAGUUGAGAAAAUUAAGAUCCAAAGAGUGAGAUUUUAAAGGGUUUUAGAAGUAUCUUGAAUGAAGUGAGGAAGGAAUGAGAUGAGUUUCGAAAGAGAGAGAAAGAAAUGCGAAAGAAAUGAAGAGGCUUUAGAAGAAAAAGAAAUUUGGGGGAAAUUUAAAAAGGACUUUGGCUGUUGGAAAGCACUGCUUUGGUAGUUUUGUUUCUUACUACACCAAGAAAUUAAAUAGUGUCUUAGGAGUUGACAAGUACUAGAGGUACUUUUUCUAUCAAGGAUGCUUUUGGCAAAAUUGGCAUCUGAGUAGGAACUUAAAGCAAAUGAUGCAUUUCUAUGAUACCAUAAAUCUAAAUGCAAUGUACCACUUAAAUACAUGAGAAUGCGUUUUACGACAUGCAAAUGAGUCUUUUUAUGACGUGAUUGAAAAUGUGCACACAAGCAUACAGAAAACAUAAUGUUG
rnacentral:misc_RNA from 1 species